rnacentral:rRNA from 1 species
CCUACGGGGGGCUGCAGUGGGGAAUAUUGGACAAUGGGGGGAACCCUGAUCCAGCCAUGCCGCGUGUGUGAAGAAGGCCCUCGGGUUGUAAAGCACUUUCAGUGAGGAAGAACGCCUGGUGGUUAAUACCCAUCAGGAAAGACAUCACUCACAGAAGAAGCACCGGCUAACUCCGUGCCAGCAGCCGCGGUAAUACGGAGGGUGCGAGCGUUAAUCGGAAUUACUGGGCGUAAAGCGCGCGUAGGUGGCUUGAUAAGCCGGUUGUGAAAGCCCCGGGCUCAACCUGGGAACGGCAUCCGGAACUGUCAAGCUAGGGUGCAGGAGAGGAAGGUAGAAUUCCCGGGGAAGCGGGGAAAUGCGUAGAGACCGGGAGGAAUACCAGUGGCGAAGGCGGCCUUCUGGACUGACACUGACACUGGGGUGCGAAAGCGUGGGUAGAAAACAGGAUUAGAUACCCCGGUAGUC